rnacentral:rRNA from 1 species
GUGGGGAAUCUUCCGCAAUGGACGAAAGUCUGACGGAGCAACGCCGCGUGAGUGAAGAAGGUUUUCGGAUCGUAAAGCUCUUUCGUUAGGGACGAACGUGCUCUUUGUGAAUAAUGAGGAGUAAUGACGGUACCUAAAUAAGAAGCCACGGCUAACUACGUGCCAGCAGCCGCGGUAAUACGUAGGUGGCAAGCGUUGUCCGGAAUUAUUGGGCGUACAGCGCGCGCAGGCGGGAUAUCAAGUCUGUCUUAAAAGUGCGAGGCUCAACCUCGUGAGGGGACAGAAACUGGUAUUCUUGAGUGUCGGAGAGGAAAGUGGAAUUCCAAGUGUAGCGGUGAAAUGCGUAGAGAUUUGGAAGAACACCAGUGGCGAAGGCGACUUUCUGGACGAUGUCUGACGCUGAGGCGCGAAAGCUAGGGGAGCGAACGGGAUUAGAAACCCUUGUAGUCC